AAUAAAUAAAUAGCCCAGAUAAGACUUCAGCAUCAUGAAGCUGGUCCCCUUAGAGGCAUCUCUGCAAGGCCUCAUGUGGUCUCCUGGCCCAUGGUGGGUAACGUUUGGGCAACAUAACAUAACACACAUAGGUACAUGCACACACAUGUCUGAUAUGUAGAAAUAUGCAGAUGUGUGUACAAAGACAUGGACACAUGUCCAUUGCAACAGCACAUGUGAAUAUGUGGAAACACGCAUAUGCACGAGCACACACAUGUGUCGCAUGGCACAUACAUGAAUACGCAUAUGCAGAAACAGACUCAUGGACACAAAUCCAUGUGCCCAUGCACACCUCUAACCCACUAAAUAGUCUAGUCUUAAUUGUCCCCGCUUUGCAGAUAAGAAAUCAGAAGCAUAAAAGUUGCACAACUACUAAGUUACAGAACCAGAAUUUGAAUGCAGGUAUCUUAUUCCCAAUUCUGUGCUUCUAACAUCCGUGUAAAAUAACCUCUAGAAAAAAGUGAUCAUUAACAAAAGAAAAAAUCAUUCUGGUCUCAGAUAUCUCCUUUGCAACACAAAAGUCCAAAAGUGAGUUAGUAAUAUCUAGAGUUUUGAUGAAAAGGAAUCUCUAAUCCAUGAUUCAUAGCUCAGGUGUUUUUCAGCAGUAAAAGCAAAAGAAAGAUAGCCUUAGUUAUGUAAGUGCCAAUCUUAAAAGAUUUAUUCAUAGCUAUACUUUUACCAACUAAGAGAAGAAGCAGAUUAAGAAUUCAUAAAUGAUAAAAUCAAGGUAGGAGUGGACUGGUGGUUAGUACUAAAAUGAAUUAUGAUAAAUAAAAGAGUAAUUUGUGAAUGUAUACAAAAUUGAAUACCAAUGUCAAAAAUCAUUCUUGAAAAGAAUACUUCUAACAUAUCAAAUAAUAAUGAAAUUUUAUUAUAUUUAAAAGCCUAGAUUAUAUUGACCACAGACCAAAGAGUCGUUGAUUGGUAAGGGGAUCAAAAGAAGACACUUAAUUCAUUAUUUUAAGGUAGAAAUUCAAAAGAAACCAUUUACCCUUAAAAAUAGAUUAAGGAAUGUUUUUUAAAAAUUAAUGGUAAUUACUAAAUUAAAAAAAAUGGAGUACAUACCUCCCAACCUCAAGACAAGAUAAAAGUAAAGACACCAUUGCCCUUAAAAUAAAAGAAAAUAAAACAAAUCAAGAAAAGAAAACAAGUUAAGAAGCUCUGCUAACCAAGAACUUGUAGAAGGAUGGCAUAAAUAAGAAUAAAUGCACCCACUGUAAGAAUAAAUGUAAACAGAUUAAAUUUCCUACUAUUCGAAAAGGACCUUAGGAUUCUGUUAAAAAAAAUAAACAAGAAAAAUACUAUGUUUUUUGAAUGCCACCCUUACAACAAGUGACACAGGAAGUUGAAAAGCAGAAAAAUGGACAAAGAUAUUAAAGCAAAUGCAAAUCUUUAAAAAAAAUCUUGACGAAACAGAAAUUCAGUAUUGGUCAAGAUAGGCCAAAUAGAGGCAUUAAAGGAUACAAAUUUAACAUAAAUGACAAGAAUUUAACAUUGAAUGAUAUGAAGAAAAAAUAUGAAUUUCAUUUUUAUAGAUAGAUAUUUUACAGUGAAAAGAUAGUAGUCAUCAAUCUUGUAUCAACUAUGUAAAGCACAAACUGUUAGAAACAUACUUUGUAGAGGAAUAAAUUUACAAGAGCACAGUGGAGUUGGGAAAUUUGAACACACCUGUAUUAGUCA
rnacentral:lncRNA from 1 species